rnacentral:lncRNA from 1 species
GACUCGCUACCAACUGCAUGAAGCGGAGGGGCGGACCCGCCUUGGGGGACUGAGGCACAGAUUCUUUCUAGGGCUGGGGCAGAGCUGGUUCGUGCGCAGUUCGCAGUUUAACUCUGAAAGCGGGUGUGCAAGCAACCUUAGAGUUGUCCGGGGUUCUGUGAACCAUGGGUACAUUUAAAGAGCUGGAGAGACGGCCGAAGAGGAAGAUGACUUUUAUCGUCAGUACAUGUCACAAGAAAACAUUUAAAACGACACCAAAACAAUCUUUGAAAUCAUGGUGCAUGGAGGAGAAAGGAGAAGAAAGCAACGGUUGGCUUGUUUUGGCAUGAGACCUUGAUACAAUUUGGGUUCCCCAAAACCACGUGAAGGGUGAUAAAAUAGAAAUGCUCAAAACUGACUUAAAAAAAUAAACAGGCUUUACAAAAA